rnacentral:rRNA from 1 species
CAGUCGCCACGGUAAUACGUAGGUGGCAAGCGUUGUCCGGAAUUAUUGGGCGUAAAGGGCUCGCAGGCGGUUUCUUAAGUCUGAUGUGAAAGCCCCCGGCUCAACCGGGGAGGGUCAUUGGAAACUGGGAAACUUGAGUGCAGAAGAGGAGAGUGGAAUUCCACGUGUAGCGGUGAAAUGCGUAGAGAUGUGGAGGAACACCAGUGGCGAAGGCGACUCUCUGGUCUGUAACUGACGCUGAGGAGCGAAAGCGUGGGGAGCGAACAAGAUUAGAUACCCGGUAGUCCCUGUCUCUUAUACA